rnacentral:rRNA from 1 species
AUUGAACGCUGGCGGCAGGCUUAACACAUGCAAGUCGAACGAGCGGCGGACGGGUGAGUAAUGUCUGGGAACCUAGCUUAUGGAGGGGGAUAACUACGGGAAACUGUAGCUAAUACCGCGUACCAUAGGAUGAGCCCAAGUGGGAGUAGUUAGUAGGUGGGGUAAAGGCUCACCAAGGCGACGAUCCCUAGCUGGCCUGCGAGGAUGACCAGCCACACUGGGACUGAGACACGGCCCAGACGCCUACGGGAGGCAGCAGUGGGGAAUAUUGCGCAAUGGGCGCAAGCCUGACACAGCCAUGCCGCGUGAAUGAAGAAGGCCUUCGGGUUGUAAAGUUCUUUCGGUGGCGAGGCGUUACCUACAGAAGAAGCACCGGCUAACUCCGUGCCAGCAGCCGCGGUAAUUC